rnacentral:rRNA from 1 species
AGUAACUGCGAGUGAAGCGGGAAAAGCUCAAAUUUAAAAUCUGGCGGUCUCUGGCCGUCCGAGUUGUAAUCUAGAGAAGUGUUAUCCGCGCUGGACCGUGUACAAGUCUCCUGGAAUGGAGCGUCAUAGAGGGUGAGAAUCCCGUCUUUGACACGGACUGCCAGGGCUUUGUGAUGCGCUCUCAAAGAGUCGAGUUGUUUGGGAAUGCAGCUCAAAAUGGGUGGUAAAUUCCAUCUAAAGCUAAAUAUUGGCGAGAGACCGAUAGCGAACAAGUACCGUGAGGGAAAGAUGAAAAGAACUUUGGAAAGAGAGUUAAACAGUACGUGAAAUUGCUGAAAGGGAAACGCUUGAAGUCAGUCGCGUUGGCCGGGGAUCAACCUUGCUUUUGCUGGGCGUACUUUCCGGUUGAYGGGUCAGCAUCAAUUUUGACCGUUGGAUAAAGUCUAGGGGAAUGUGGCAUCUUCGGAUGUGUUAUAGCCCUUGGUCGCAUACAACGGUUGGGAUUGAGGAACUCAGCACGCCGCAAGGCCGGGUACUUGUACCACGUUCGUGCUUAGGAUGCUGGCAUAAUGGCUUUAAUCGACCCGUCUUGAAACACGGACCAAGGAGUCUAACAUGCCUGCGAGUGUUUGGGUGGAAAACUCGGACGCGUAAUGAAAGUGAAAGUUGAGAUCCCUGUCGCGGGGAGCAUCGACGCCCGGACCAGACCUUUUGUGACGGAUCCGCGGUAGAGCAUGUAUGUUGGGACCCGAAAGAUGGUGAACUAUGCCUGAAUAGGGUGAAGCCAGAGGAAACUCUGGUGGAGGCUCGUAGCGAUUCUGACGUGCAAAUCGAUCGUCAAAUUUGGGUAUAG